UACGGGGGGGGCAAGCGUUGUUCGGAAUUACUGGGCGUAAAGGGCGCGUAGGCGGCCUGCUAAGUCGGACGUGAAAUCCCUCGGCUCAACCGAGGAACUGCGUCCGAUACUGGAGGGCUUGAAUCCGGGAGAGGGAUGUGGAAUUCCAGGUGUAGCGGUGAAAUGCGUAGAUAUCUGGAGGAACACCGGUGGCGAAGGCGGCAUCCUGGACCGGUAUUGACGCUGAGGCGCGAAAGCUAGGGGAGCAAACGGG
rnacentral:rRNA from 1 species